rnacentral:tRNA from 1 species
CAAAAUAUAGCUUAACUAAAGUCCCUUGCUUACACCAAGACAAUAUUCGUUAAAAUCGAAUUGUUUUGA